UACAGGGCGCGCUGCCGGGCCUGCUCUCUGGAGAAGACGGCGUUGCGCUGGCCGAGGAUCUCGGCGGGAGACGGACGCAGGGCGGCCGAGGCCGACGCAAAACCUGGGGAUCAAUGAACGUUUGGAUUCAGGCACAAACGAGGAGGCGCUUGUGGUUGAAGGACGCCAUGCCUGCUGGAUGUGCAACGUAUAUUUGGGUCCGGGGCGGAACGUAUAUCAGGAGCCGGGAGUUCCACGUGACCUACGGGACCAAGCGCUGCUCUGGUUUACGACAGCAGGUGUCGCUGUUGGUAUUCAUUUAACUCGUUCACUCAUUUAACGCAACAUAAUAGGCUACGUCUCUGUCUAAUAACUCUUUAAUGUCCUCCGCUUAAGGCCGCUGCUCUUAUGCUGAUUGCGUGGAGUUCAAAAGUUAUGAUCUUGUAUCUAAAAUCUCACGUCUGAGAUUUCAUCCUCUAAUGGACUCUAAUGGCGCUGGGAAUUUGACAAAUGCUCGUUGGAUUUUCAGGACCACAAUCAGCAGCGAGGAGUGGGACCAACAGCAUCGUGAAUCAUCAGCAGUGCCAGGUUGCUGCUCGAUUUUCACAAAUCAUGUGACAUAGAGGAGAAGAAGAACAAUAAAACAUGGCCAAGUUGUGCAUAAAGGUUUAUUUUUUUGUUUUUUGUUGAAAAUAAGUGUUUCUGACAUUGAACCACUAACUGAUGUGACUUAAGAUAGAUGACCUACACACUGACACUGAAGUUCAAACAAUGUAACAAGGCAUUUGUAUUAUCUGUAAGUGUGUAAAGACGAGUGUCCGACAAUGA